GUUAAAGUGGCAGAGCCCGGCCAAUGCUAAAGAUCUAAGCUCUUUCUACAGAGGUUCAAACCCUCUCUUUAACU
rnacentral:tRNA from 1 species